ensembl:lncRNA
GAAAUGUGUCGUGUUUGAUCACCGAAAGACACAGACUUCCAAACUAAAGCUGUUUUUGCUGCGCCGUUGGUCAGCCCAGAGCCUGUGAGACCUGUGCAGUGCCAACAUGGGGGGGGACCUUCAUAAAGGAGGGCCAACAUCUGGGAGUCCUGGAAUAACCUCUUAAAUGAGGAAGUACACCUUCAAACUGAAGGUCCUGCACAGCAGAGCACCACAGAGCAGCAUGGAGGAGAUCCAGCAGGUCAUCUGAGAAGACCCGGGGUGCGCUAAGGGGGACAAUGACCCAACAAACCUCGAGGCUGUGUAUGCCAUUUUACCAAGAAGGGGAGUGAUGGAGUGAUCAGAUGACAUGGCCUCCACAAUCGCCCGACCUCAAC